rnacentral:rRNA from 1 species
AACUGCUGCUAAUACCGGAUGUGUCGUAGCAAUACGAGAAAGGCCCGCAAGGGUCGCCAGAGGACGGGUCCGCGUCCCAUCAGCUAGUUGGUGAGGUAAUGGCUCACCAAGGCGAAGACGGGUAGCUGGUCUGAGAGGAUGAUCAGCCACACUGGAACUGAGACACGGUCCAGACUCCUACGGGAGGCAGCAGUGGGGAAUAUUGCGCAAUGGGCGAAAGCCUGACGCAGCCACGCCGCGUGAGCGAUGAAGGUCUUCGGAUCGUAAAGCUCUGUGGGGGGAGAAGAAGAAAGUCGGUGAAGAGCCGGCCCUGACGGUAUCCCCUUAGCAAGCACCGGCUAACUCCGUGCCAGCAGCCGCGGUAAUACGGAGGUGCAAACGUUGCUCGGAAUCAUUGGGCGUAAAGCGCGCGUAGGCGGCUGAACAAGUUGGAUGUGAAAGCCCUGGGCUCAACCUAGGAUGUGCAUUCAAAACUGUUCGGCUUGAGUC